rnacentral:lncRNA from 1 species
GCUUUUCAAUAAUGAUGACACCAUCUUGAACGCCUUGGCUGGAACUGGCAUUGAAGUCAUGAUUGGCAUAUCCAAUCAGCUACUCAAGGAUUUGGUUAAUCCUGAUGUAGCCAUGAAAUGGGUAAAAGAAAAUGUCACUCGUUAUGAGCCAAAGUCUCCUAAAGGUGUUAAUAUCACGUAAGUGUGUGCUAUUUUACCUUGAUUCAUUUGUCAUCUUUAUAUAUUCAAUUAAUCUUAUGAUCCAUAAAUAAUGUACAAGUUAUAUAUUUGUUUUAUUAAUUAACUGGUGCAGACUAAUAGGUGUUGGAAAUGAGCCAUUCUUGAGGGAUUACAAGGACACACUAACAAAUGUGACAGGGCCAGCAUUAGAGAACAUGCAAAAUGCACUGAAUGACGCUGGACUUGGUGACACCACCAAGGCAACUGUACCUCUAAAUGCAGAUGUUUACUUAUCACCAAGCUGGAAUCCUGUCCCUUCUGCUGGGUUUUUUCGCUCUGACAUCGUCGAUCCACUCAACUAUAUUCUUAAGGUCUUGAACAAGAACAAGGCUCCUUUUAUGGUUAAUAUUUAUCCUUUUCUCAGUCUUUUUUAUGGAAAUGGUGCAUUCCCGUUUGACUAUGCCUUCUUUGAUGGUGUGAGCAAUCCUCUUAAGGACAAAGAUGGUGUUGAAUACAGCAAUUGCUUUGAUGCCAAUCUUGACACUUGUGCAGCUGCUCUAGCAGGAGCAGGGUAUGGCAACAUGACCAUUAUGGUAGGAGAAAUGGGAUGGCCUACGGAUGGAAAUCCUUAUGCCAAUGUGACAUUGGCUGAAAAGUUUUACAAAGGAUUUGUAUCAUAUCUUGCAAAAGGAAAAGGAAGCCCACGUCGCCCUGGAUACAUUGAUGCUUACCUAUUUGCCUUAUUUGAUGAGGAUAGGAAGAGCACACUCCCAGGAAACUUUGAGACACAUUGGGGAAUCUACUACGAUGAUGGCACACCAAAGUUUCCUCUUGAUCUACGUGGAAAUAAAAAGAAUCUUGUCUCUGUCCCAAAUGUGGAGAGACUCUCCAAAAAAUGGUGUGUGAUAAAGCCAGAUGUUAAAAAUUUUACAGGCCUUAUGUCAUAUGCUUGUGACCGUGCAGAUUGUACACCUCUUACUAAUGGAUCAUCUUGCCAAAAUCUUAGCGAUGCUGACAAGGCUUCAUAUGCCGUGAAUAC